rnacentral:rRNA from 1 species
CGCUGGCGGCACGCCUAACACAUGCAAGUCGAACGGAGAUAUUUGGUUUACUGAGAUAUCUUAGUGGCGGACGGGUGAGUAACACGUGAGCAACCUGCCUUUGAGAGAGGGAUAGCUUCUGGAAACGGAUGGUAAUACCUCAUAACGUAUACUUAAGGCAUCUUAUGUAUACCAAAGAUUUAUCACUCAAAGAUGGGCUCGCGUCUGAUUAGAUAGUUGGUGAGGUAACGGCUCACCAAGUCGACGAUCAGUAGCCGGACUGAGAGGUUGAACGGCCACAUUGGGACUGAGACACGGCCCAGACUCCUACGGGAGGCAGCAGUGGGGAAUAUUGCACAAUGGGGGAAACCCUGAAUGCAGCGAUGCCGCGUGGAGGAAGAAGGUUUUCGGAUUGUAAACUCCUGUCUUAAAGGACGAUAAUGACGGUACUUUAGGAGGAAGCUCCGGCUAACUACGUGCCAGCCGCUGC